rnacentral:lncRNA from 1 species
UCAGAAUGAAAUUCUCUAUUUAUUUAAUGUACAAUUGACACGAAAAAAAUUAGUAUUUUUUUAAAGUGCCUGGAAUUUAAUUUUUCUUAAAACAAAUCAAUAGAUCUUUUUCUCCAGAUUUCAUUGAUACCAUACACUCUAUAGGUACCUCUAAUAGUUUCCGAGAUAAUCGAAAAAAACAUUUGGUCCUUCGAGCCGGAUUUUGAGUUCAAACGGCGAUAUCUUAGGAACAAAAUGAGAUAACCCCAUGGUGUUUGGGCUUAUUUUAAUCAGCAUGAAAUUGUCUAUUAGGUUUUUUUAAAAAAAAUUGAAAAAUCGAUGCUUAAAAAAAAUUCCAGUUAUUUUAAUCUCAUAUGAAAGCCAAAGAGUUUAUUUACCAAACGCAUGCUUUCUUGCAUAUAUAUUUAAUAAAAUGCACUUUUUACACGUGAACAAUAAGUGAUCAAACCACCCUUGUAAAUAUUAUAUAAACGACAUUGUACAUAACGAAGUACAAACUGUAUAUAACGGACAUAAUUAUUAUUGUACUUCCUCAGCUACUCCGCCACACGGGCUUUCUAUGGUGUACAUAACGUAUUUUGUGAUAUUUGAAAACUCCUUACCCGCAUCACUCUAUAUAAUAACAUUAAUUAAUUAAUUAAUUCAAUAAUUAAAUCAAAAUGUGUAAUUUUUUGAACAAAUCGUCAUGCCGAAUAAUGGACCAGUUUUGGACCAAAUUUAUUUUAUUUGUUGUAUAGGCGUUUGUAUAUAGGAUGGACCGAUAAUGGGAGGUCUAAUAAAGGUGUGGACCUUUUAAAGCAUCAAAAAGGAGUAAAUUAAGUCAAGAAAAAUGUAUUUGCUUUCAAAUGCAGUUUGUUUGAUGAAGAUCGGUUAAGUAGAUCCGGAGAUAUCGGCUGUAGACUCCCAGGUCGACGCUCCAAGCUCCUAGUGACGUCAACCAAACUUUGAAUACUGAUAACUUAUAAGCGACUAAUAUUUUGGAAAUUAUUAUAGUUGAUUAGAAUAGAAUAUCACUUGGGCUACAACUUUGUUUCAUAAAUUAUUUUUGUGAAGUAAAAAUCAAGAAAGAUACAAAAGAUUUUCCUAACAGAUCAAGUCACUGUCCGAGUCUCCGAGUUCCAGUUUGGAUAUCUCAAAAACCAUAUGGUUUAUGGAUUUUAAGUCGUCUACAGAAAAUAUUGUGCAACUAAAUUACUUUCCAAUAGUGUUUAUUUGAUGAUCAUAGCAUCAUUAGAUCAAGAGUUAUCGGAUUUAGACUCCCAGGUCGACGCUCCAAGCUCUUAGUGACGUCAACCAAACUUUGAAUACUGAUAACUUAUAAGCGAAUAAUAUUUUGGAAAUUAUUAUAAUUGAUUAGGAUAAAAUAUUACUUGGACUACAACUUUGCUUUAUAAAUUAUUUCUCUGAACUAAAAAUUAAGAAAGAUACAAAAAAUUUUCGUAACAGAUCAAGUCACUGUCCAAGUCUCCGAGUUCCAGGUCGGAUAUCUCAAAAUCUAUAGGAUUUAUGGAUUUUAAGAUAUCCACAAAAAUUGUUGUGCAACUAAAUUGCUUUCCAAUAAAGUUUAUUUGAUGAUCGUGGCAUCAUUAGAUCAAGAGUUAUCGGAUUUAGACUCCCAGGUCGAUGCACCAAGCUCCUAGUGACGUCAACCAAACUUUGAACAUACAUAACUUGUAAACGGUUAAUAAUUUGGAAAUGAUUAGUGUUGUUUACGAUAGAACCUGACUUGGUUUACAACUUUAUUAAAUAAGAAAUCUUUCUAAAUUGUACCGUUAAAAAGAUACAAAAGAUUUUGUUACUAGAUCCGAUCACUAUUGAGGUCCCUGGGUUCUAGGGCAUAUAUCUCUUUAAAUAUUCGUUCUAUGCUUUUAGAGGCGUCUACAAAAAUUUUAGACUAACUAAUUUCCUUUCAAACAAACUUUAUUUUAUAAUCGUAUCUUCAGUAGAUCAAGAGAUAUCCGCCAUAAAGUCUCUUACAUUUGUUUGAAAACUCCUUGCCCACAUCGCUGUACAUAAUAAUGUAUUGCGCGCUUGUCAUACAAUUAGUGUCCCAAUAAGGUCCAUCUUAUAUACAUAAUAUUUUUAUAUACCUAAGGAAUUAAUCAAAACGACAUACUGUAAAUGACGCAAUAAUACCUAAAAAAAUAAAUAACCCACAUAGUGACUAAUCUUAAGAGGCCUUAAACUAAAACCACAUUAUGUACAUAAGAGUAUAAUUAGUAAAUAAUCCGCAAUAAAUGUUGUGUAAUAUAUAAAGUUUAUUAAGUUAGAAGAAAAUUGUGAUGUACAAUCAUAUAUACAGGGACGGGCCAACAAAGUUGUACAGGGUCUUAUCAAGAAACAUGGUUUAUUUGGCCAAUUGUAAUGAGUUCCCUAUAUAUUUAUAUAAUGUAUAUAGAAAGAGUGGGGGAAAUUCUUAUGUGCUAGAGGCAGAGUGCGUAGAGUUAAGUGUAGAGUCGCUGUAGUCGCAUCUAAGUUGAGCCGUAGAUGCGGAUACGGUCGAUUUUGUAAAUAGUUGGACAUAAAUCAAUAAAAGAUCUUAAUGUUGA